rnacentral:SRP_RNA from 1 species
GCCGAGCUCAGUAGCGCGAGCUUGUUACCCAAGCGGGGGCAAUAAGAUGGUGAGAACAGUCAUGGUUCGCAACCUAUGACGGUGAAGGGUGCCACAAAUUUGGACCCUUACCCUUAUUGUAAAAUAAGGUAAGGACUGAAGAGUAUCUUUGGGCCUGCUGGCUUCACAGAGCAGUUGUUUGUGCCUUGCUAACCAGUUACGCUACCAGUCCAAGCCACCACUUCUAUGUCGGGGUAGUCAUUGGCUGAACCAUCACCUUU